CAGUAGCCGCGGUAAGACGGAGGGUGCUAGCGUUGUUCGGAAUCACUGGGCGUAAAGGGCGCGUAGGCGGCCUGUUAAGUCGGAUGUGAAAGCCCGGGGCUCAACCCCGGAACUGCAUCCGAGACUGGCAGGCUUGAGACCGGGAGAGGAGGGUGGAAUAUCCAGUGUAGAGGUGAAAUUCGUAGAUAUUGGAUGGAACACCGGUGGCGAAAGCGGCUCUCUGGCCCGGAUCUGACGCUGAGGCGCGAAAGCGUGGGGAGCAAACAGGAUUAGAUACCCGCGUAGUCCCUGUCUCUUAUAC
rnacentral:rRNA from 1 species